AGUGAACGCUGGCGGUAGGCCUAACACAUGCAAGUCGAACGGCAGCACAGUAAGAGCUUGCUCUUACGGGUGGCGAGUGGCGGACGGGUGAGGAAUACAUCGGAAUCUACUUUUUCGUGGGGGAUAACGUAGGGAAACUUACGCUAAUACCGCAUACGACCUACGGGUGAAAGCAGGGGAUCUUCGGACCUUGCGCGAUUGAAUGAGCCGAUGUCGGAUUAGCUAGUUGGCGGGGUAAAGGCCCACCAAGGCGACGGUCCGUAGCUGGUCUGAGAGGAUGAUCAGCCACACUGGGACUGAGACACGGUCCAGACUCCUACGGGAGGCAGCAGUGGGGAAUAUUGGACAAUGGGCGCAAGCCUGAUCCAGCCAUACCGCGUGGGUGAAGAAGGCCUUCGGGUUGUAAAGCCCUUUUGUUGGGAAAGAAAAGCAGCAGGUUAAUACCCCGCUGUUCUGACGGUACCCAAAGAAUAAGCACCGGCUAACUUCGUG
rnacentral:rRNA from 1 species